GCCAGGUGUGGUGGCGUGCGCCUGUAAUCCCAGCUACUUGGGAGGCUGAGGCAGGAGAAUUGCUAGAACCCGGGAGGCCGAGGUUGCAGUGAGCCAAGAUCACGCCUUUGCACUCCAGCCUGGGCGACAGAGCGAGACUCUGUCUCUU
rnacentral:SRP_RNA from 1 species